CAGCAGCCACGGGAAUACGUAGGUGGCAAGCGUUGUCCGGAAUUAUUGGGCGUAAAGCGCGCGCAGGUGGUUUAAUAAGUCUGAUGUGAAAGCCCACGGCUCAACCGUGGAGGGUCAUUGGAAACUGUUAAACUUGAGUGCAGGAGAGAAAAGUGGAAUUCCUAGUGUAGCGGUGAAAUGCGUAGAGAUUAGGAGGAACACCAGUGGCGAAGGCGGCUUUUUGGCCUGUAACUGACACUGAGGCGCGGAAGCGUGGGGAGCAAACAGGAUUAGAUACCCCGGUAGUCCCUGUCUCUUAUAU
rnacentral:rRNA from 1 species